CCUACGGGUGGCAGCAGUAGGGAAUAUUGCACAAUGGGGGGAACCCUGAUGCAGCAACGCCGCGUGGAUGAAGAAGUACUUCGGUUUGUAAAGCCCUGUCAUCAGGGAAGAAAAUGACGGUACCUAACCAAGAAGCCCCGGCUAAAUACGUGCCAGCAGCCGCGGUAAUACGUAGGGGGCAAGCGUUACCCGGAUUUAAUGGUCGUAAAGGGCGCGUAGGCGGCAUGGCAAGUCAGUUGUGAAAGCCCCGGGCUCAACCACGGAACUGCUUUGGAAACUGUGUUGCUGGAGUGCGGGAGAGGUAGGCGGAAGUCCUAGUGUAGCGGUGAAAUGCGUAGAGAUUAGGAGGAACACUGGUGGCGAAGGCGGCUUACUGGACUGUAACUGACGCUGAGGCUCGAAGGCGUGGGGAGCAAACAGGAUUAGAUACCCCUGUAGUC
rnacentral:rRNA from 1 species